rnacentral:rRNA from 1 species
CAGUAGCCACGGGAAUACGAAGGGUGCAAGCGUUACUCGGAAUUACUGGGCGUAAAGCGUGCGUAGGUGGUGGUUUAAGUCCGUUGUGAAAGCCCUGGGCUCAACCUGGGAAUUGCAGUGGAUACUGGAUCGCUAGAGUGUGGUAGAGGAUAGUGGAAUUUCCGGUGUAGCAGUGAAAUGCGUAGAGAUCGGAAGGAACAUCUGUGGCGAAGGCGACUAUCUGGGCCAACACUGACACUGAGGCACGAAAGCGUGGGGAGCAAACGGGAUUAGAUACCCGCGUAGUCCCUGUCUCUUAUAC